rnacentral:rRNA from 1 species
GUCCACGCCGUAAACGAUGGAUGCUAGCCGUCGGGGCACUAAGCUUCGGUGGCGUCGCUAACGCUUUAAGCAUCCCGCCUGGGGAGUACGGUCGCAAGAUUAAAACUCAAAGGAAUUGACGGGGACCCGCACAAGCGGUGGAGCAUGUGGUUUAAUUCGAGGCAACGCGAAGAACCUUACCAGGACUUGACAUGCCCGUCGAGAUUUCCAGAGAUGGAUUUCGUCAGCUUGGCUGGACGGUGCACAGGUGCUGCACGGCUGUCGU